AACUGCGAAUGGCUCAUUAUAUAAGUUAUCGUUUAUUUGAUAGUACCUUACUACUUGGAUAACCGUGGUAAUUCUAGAGCUAAUACAUGCUAAAAAUCCCGACUUCGGAAGGGAUGUAUUUAUUAGAUUAAAAACCAAUGCCCUCUGGGCUCCUUGGUGAUUCAUGAUAACUCUUCGAAUCGCACGGCCUUGCGCCGGCGAUGGUUCAUUCAAAUUUCUUCCCUAUCAACUUUCGAUGUUUGGGUCUUGGCCAAACAUGGUCGCAACGGGUAACGGAGGGUUAGGGCUCGACCCCGGAGAAGGAGCCUGAGAAACGGCUACUACAUCCAAGGAAGGCAGCAGGCGCGCAAAUUACCCAAUCCCGAUUCGGGGAGGUAGUGACAAUAAAUACUGAUACAGGGCUCUUUUGGGUCUUGUAAUUGGAAUGAGUACAAUUUAAAUCCCUUAACGAGGAACAAUUGGAGGGCAAGUCUGGUGCCAGCAGCCGCGGUAAUUCCAGCUCCAAUAGCGUAUAUUAAAGUUGUUGUGGUUAAAAAGCUCGUAGUUGAACCUUGGGCCUGGCUGGCCGGUCCGCCUCACCGCGUGUACUGGUCCGGCCGGGCCUUUCCCUCUGUGGAACCCCAUGCCCUUCACUGGGUGUGGCGGGGAAACAGGACUUUUACUUUGAAAAAAUUAGAGUGCUCCAGGCAGGCCUAUGCUCGAAUACAUUAGCAUGGAAUAAUGAAAUAGGACGCGUGGUUCUAUUUUGUUGGUUUCUAGGACCGCCGUAAUGAUUAAUAGGGACAGUCGGGGGCAUCAGUAUUCAAUUGUCAGAGGUGAAAUUCUUGGAUUUAUUGAAGACUAACUACUGCGAAAGCAUUUGCCAAGGAUGUUUUCAUUAAUCAGGAACGAAAGUUAGGGGAUCGAAGACGAUCAGAUACCGUCGUAGUCUUAACCAUAAACUAUGCCGACUAGGGAUCGGACGAUGUUAUUUUUUGACG
rnacentral:rRNA from 1 species